CCUGAAGUGAUCUUUCCCUCCUCAUCAGUCUUCACAUCAACUGUUUUUCUUUUUUUACCAUUCUUUCUCCUCUUCUUUCUCAGUCCUUUGAAACUUGGGUCUCCCAGCACUGCCCAUGCUGGCAGCAUGUCCUAGUCCUGUGGGGUCACCCACACCGCACCCCCUCCAGGUUUUGGGGCAAGAGGUAGAGAUGUACCUGGUUGAGACGAUGCAGGCAUUUGUCAAGACACCAGAAACAGCAGAAGCAGCAUCUGAACACACACCUCGACCAUGCAUGACGCUGUUGGGAUGAGGUUCAAAGUCAAAAGCACAGAGUCAGACAAAACAUAGCAAAGAGGUUUACCUGUUAUGAUUGCUGCUGACUUCAGUAGAAAUUGACAUGGGUUAGUCCACAUUUCCUAGCAAAGGCUGUUAUAAAUGAACAAGAGAAUGGUUCUUGGAAUCCUCAUCACAGUGAUUAAAAAUGAGCCUUUAACAACUGUUCCUUGAUGGUAGAAAAAGAGAAUGGAGAGGGAUGAAAGGAUUGGGUGAUCAGGAGGGUCACUUUUAUUUCUGGGAACAGGAAAAAAAAGACAGUAUUAAAACACUUUUUAAAAGGAACAAAAAACUGUGGUUCAA